UACGUAGGGUGCGAGCGUUGUCCGGAAUUAUUGGGCGUAAAGAGCUCGUAGGCGGUCUGUCGCGUCUGCUGUGAAAUCCCGAGGCUCAACCUCGGGCUUGCAGUGGGUACGGGCAGGCUAGAGUGCGGUAGGGGAGACUGGAAUUCCUGGUGUAGCGGUGAAAUGCGCAGAUAUCAGGAGGAACACCGGUGGCGAAGGCGGGUCUCUGGGCCGAAACUGACGCUGAGGAGCGAAAGCGUGGGGAGCAAACAGG
rnacentral:rRNA from 1 species